rnacentral:rRNA from 1 species
GACGAACGCUGGCGGCGUGCUUAACACAUGCAAGUCGAACGGAAAGGCACUGCUUUUGUGGGGUGCUCGAGUGGCGAACGGGUGAGUAACACGUGAGUAACCUGCCCUUGACUUUGGGAUAACUUCAGGAAACUGGGGCUAAUACCGGAUAGGAGCUCCUGCUGCAUGGUGGGGGUUGGAAAGUUUCGGCGGUUGGGGAUGGACUCGCGGCUUAUCAGCUUGUUGGUGGGGGAGUGGCUUACCAAGGCUUUGACGGGUAGCCGGCCUGGGAGGGAGACCGGCCACAUUGGGACUGAGAGACGGCCCAGACUCCUACGGUAGGCAGCAGUGGGAAAUAUUGCACAGUGGGCGGAAGCCUGAUGCAGCAACGCCGCGUGCGGGAUGACGGCCUUCGGGUUGUAAACCGCUUUCGCCUGUGACGAAGCGUGAGUGACGGUAAUGGGUAAAGAAGCACCGGCUAACUACGUG